CCUACGGGAGGCAGCAGUGAGGAAUAUUGGUCAAUGGCCGGGAGGCUGAACCAGCCAAGUCGCGUGAGGGAAGACGGCCCUACGGGUUGUAAACCUCUUUUGUCAGGGAGCAAGGUGCAGGUCGGGACCUGCUGUGAGAGUACCUGAAGAAAAAGCAUCGGCUAACUCCGUGCCAGCAGCCGCGGUAAUACGGAGGAUGCGAGCGUUAUCCGGAUUUAUUGGGUUUAAAGGGUGCGCAGGCGGAGGCACAAGUCAGCGGUAAAAUCGCGGGGCUCAACCCCGCUCCGCCGUUGAAACUGUGUCCCUAGAGUGCAGGAGAGGUAAGCGGAAUUCCUAGUGUAGCGGUGAAAUGCGUAGAUAUUAGGAGGAACACCAGUGGCGAAGGCGGCUUACUGGACUGUAACUGACGUUGAGGCUCGAAAGCGUGGGGAGCAAACAGGAUUAGAUACCCGAGUAGUC
rnacentral:rRNA from 1 species